UUAAGUUCAGCGGGUAUUCCUACCUGAUCCGAGGUCAAACUUUAGAAGGGGGUUGUUUCACGGCCGGCACCCGCCGCACGCCCUGAGCGAGAUGUAUUACUGCGCUCGGAGUGACUAGCGAGCCCGCCACUGUAUUUCAGGGCCUGCGGGCAGCCGCAGGGACCCAACGCAAGCCUGGGGCUUGAUGGUUGAAAUGACGC
rnacentral:misc_RNA from 1 species